rnacentral:rRNA from 1 species
AUUUUUUGCCAUAUCAAAAAGCGGAGGAAAAGAAAAUAACAAUGAUUCCCCUAGUAACGGCGAGUGAAGAGGGAAAAGCUCAAAGUUGGAACCUGGUGGGCAUAGCUCACCCGGAUUGUAAACUAAAGUUUUCGAGUCGUUUAGUCAGCCAGGUAAAUAAGUCCUCUGGAAAGGGGCGACAUAGAGGGUGAAAUCCCCGUCUUUGGCCUGAGUUUUUGAUUAGGCGUUUGGCUUGGAAACGAAGAGUCAGGUUGUUUGGGAAUGCAGCCUAAAAUGGGAGGUAAAUCUCUCCUAAAGCUAAAUAUUGACGAAAGACCGAUAGCGAACAAGUACCGUGAGGGAAAGAUGAAAAGCACUUUGAAAAGAGGGUCAAAAAGUACGUGAAAUUGCUGAAAGGGAACCGUAUGAAAUCAGACUUACUGGUAGGUAAUCAAUCUUUCCCUUGGGAAGGAUGCACUUGCCUGCUAUGUACGCCAGCGACAUUUUGGUUGUGGAGGAAAAAAAUAGUUGGAAUGUAGCUUGGGCUUCGGCUUAGGUGUUAUAGACUACUAUAAAAUACUCUCGGCUAGAAUGAGGAACGCAGCAAACCGUAAGGCAAAGAUUUUAGGCGCUUGGGGGGAAUCAUUAGAGAAUUUCUGCUUCGGGUGGUGCUUUAGUGAUUUCGUUCAACUCGUUUGAAUUUCUUUUUAUUUGCUUAGGUUGUUGGCUUAAUGAUUUUAUAUGACCCGUCUUGAACCACGAA